UACGUAGGGUGCGAGCGUUGUCCGGAAUUACUGGGCGUAAAGAGCUCGUAGGUGGUUUGUCUCGUUGUUCGUGAAAACCGGAGGCUUAACCUUCGGCGUGCGAGCGAUACGGACAGACUGGAGUACUGCAGGGGAGACUGGAAUUCCUGAUGUAGCGGUGGAAUGCUCAGAUAACAGGAGGAACACCGGUGGCGAAGGCGGGUCUCUGGGCAGUAACUGACGCUGGGGAGCGAAAGUGUUGUGAGCGAACAGG
rnacentral:rRNA from 1 species